rnacentral:rRNA from 1 species
AUUGAACGCUGGCGGCAUGCCUUACACAUGCAAGUCGAACGGUAACAGGUCUUCGGAUGCUGACGAGUGGCGAACGGGUGAGUAAUAUAUCGGAACGUGCCCAGUCGUGGGGGAUAACGCAGCGAAAGCUGUGCUAAUACCGCAUACGAUCUAUGGAUGAAAGCGGGGGAUCGCAAGACCUCGCGCGAUUGGAGCGGCCGAUAUCAGAUUAGGUAGUUGGUGGGGUAAAGGCCCACCAAGCCAACGAUCUGUAGCUGGUCUGAGAGGACGACCAGCCACACUGGAACUGAGACACGGUCCAGACUCCUACGGGAGGCAGCAGUGGGAAUUUUGGACAAUGGGCGCAAGCCUGAUCCAGCAAUGCCGCGUGCAGGAUGAAGGCCUUCGGUUGUAAACGUGCUUUUGUACGGUACGAAAAGGACUCUGGUUAAUACCUGGGCUCAUGACGGUACCGUAAGAAUAAGACACCGGCUAACUACGUACGCCAGCC